UAGCCAAAUGCCUCGUCAUC
rnacentral:snRNA from 1 species